AUUGAACGCUAGCGGGAUGCCUUACACAUGCAAGUCGAACGGAGUGGCGAACGGGUGAGUAAUGUAUCGCAACGUGCCCAGUAGCGGGGGAUAACUACGCGACAGAGUAGCUAAUACCGCAAAUUAUUGAUCCGGCCGAAAUCGGGUUAGCGAGUUGGUGGGGUAACGGCUCACCAAGGCGACGAUCCGUAGCUGGUUUGAGAGGACGACAGGCCACACUGGGAAUGAGACACGGCCCAGACUCCUACGGGAGGCAGCAGUGGGGAAUAUUGGACAAUGGGGGAAAGCCUGAUCCAGCCAGCCCGCGUGUGCGAUGAAGGCCUUCGGGUUGUAAAGCACUUUUGGCAGGAAAGCGGUACCUGCAGAAUAAGCACCGGCUAACUACGUGCCAGCAGCCGCGGUAAUUC
rnacentral:rRNA from 1 species